rnacentral:rRNA from 1 species
CCUACGGGGGGCUGCAGUGGGGAAUAUUGGACAAUGGGGGCAACCCUGAUCCAGCCAUGCCGCGUGUGUGAAGAAGGCCCUCGGGUUGUAAAGCACUUUCAGUGAGGAAGAACGCCUGGUGGUUAAUACCCAUCAGGAAAGACAUCACUCACAGAAGAAGCACCGGCUAACUCCGUGCCAGCAGCCGCGGUAAUACGGAGGGUGCGAGCGUUAAUCGGAAUUACUGGGCGUAAAGCGCGCGUAGGUGGCUUGAUAAGCCGGUUGUGAAAGCCCCGGGCUCAACCUGGGAACGGCAUCCGGAACUGUCAAGCUAGAGAGCAGGAGAGGAAGGUAGAAUUCCCGGUGUAGCGGUGAAAUGCGUAGAGAUCGGGAGGAAUACCAGUGGCGAAGGCGGCCUUCUGGACUGACACUGACACUGAGGUGCGAAAGCGUGGGUAGCAAACAGGAUUAGAUACCCGAGUAGUC